GGCGUAGGGCGCGAGCGUUGUCCGGAUUUAUUGGGCGUAAAGAGCUCGUAGGCGGCUUGUUGCGUCGACUGUGAAAACCCGCGGCUUAACUGCGGGCUUGCAGUUGAUACGGGCAGGCUAGAGGUAGGUAGGGGAGAAUGGAAUUCCCGGUGUAGCGGUGAAAUGCGUAGAUAUCUGGAGGAACACCGGUGGCGAAGGCGGCAUCCUGGACCGGCACUGACGCUGAGGAGCGAAAGCCAGGGGAGCAAACGGG
rnacentral:rRNA from 1 species